AGGCAUCGCAAUCAAUACAAUACGAAUGUUCCAACGAGGAACUGAUAUCAAUCAAGAUUGCAUAAUGGAAGGUAUCAAACAACAUAAACACAUCCUAGGUUAUUACAAGCAUUCACAUUCACCUUUUUAUAUCUCAAUUACAAUUUACUUCCUUUUCCACUAAAUGCAAUCUAAGUUAUUACAUCAUAGAUAUUACAAGUUUAAUACAUUUUGUUCCUUUCAUUUUCUAUACCCCUAAGCUAUGUCGACGGGGUAUCGCUAGCUCUGGUCUCUGGGGUAGGGCGCUAUCUACGGAGCUACGUCCUUUCCUCGCGCCGCCGCGCCGCUCACGUGCGAACCUGUAACACCCCGAAACAACGUGGGGUGAGAACCAACUCCAUGGUUCCCAGUGGGUACGGCCACCCAAGGGAAAAGCUUGACCGACAGAUUCAAAGGAGGCAACUGCAGGUUAGUUUAAUAAACAGAUAGAUAGAUAUUUUGACUAUGCAAUUAAUAGAACCAUACCUUGCCUCGCAAUUGUAACAAUGCCAUGCUAUAUGUAACUCAUGCAAGAAUGUACUACCAUAAGUAAAUCUCGUGGAUUCUACUUGUAUCUUGCUAUCAAACUUAUAUCCAACUAACCUCUAAGGUUUUCAUCUACCUUAUUCAAGCUAGCCACCCGACUCGGCCUCGAGUCAAUCAACUGCGGAUAGUCCGCGCUCUAUGCGGCUCUAGGUGAAGAAACCCUCACUUACACCUCAGCCUUCAGUCCACAAUCUCAUCGUCGACGAGUUGCCCAGAACUGCGAACACCCGUGGUCAGGGAUCUUUCCGGUGGGAAGGGGAUUAUACCACAAACUCAACCCGCGGCCCAAGACCCCUGAUAGGGAAGGGGAACGCGCCACACUCAACCCUAGCGAAUCAUGAAUCUGCCGACGGGAGGGGGAACCUGCCACACUCGACCCGCGGCCUCGAAUCAGCCUCAAGCUCAUCCUCGAAGUUCGUCCAGUAGGAGGGGACCCUGUCACACUCAACCCACUGUUCUAGAACUGUCGAGUUCACAAUCCUAAGAUUCCGAAAUUUACUUUCCAAGUCUCUAGGGUAAUCUCAAACCCUAUGAUAACGACCUAUCUAGGUCCAAUGCACUUUCUAUCCUAGGUCUAGCCGACUCUAGGUUUAAUGCCCUCACCACAUAACCUAUAUUCUUUAAACUAGGUUAACGUCUCUCUACCUAGGUUUCAUUAACUCUAGGUUCAACAACACUAGGAUCAAUGUCAACCUACCUAGAUCUUGAUUCUAGGUUCUCUUGUUUAACCUAUGUUCACGACACUAGGUUCACGACACUAGAUUCAACAUCGUUCUUAUUCAUCCUAGGUUCUCGAUCCUAGGUUCAUAUUCGACCUAUGUUAUAUAACACUAGGUUCGGUGCCACUCGAUCUAGUUGACCCUACUUGUCCACAUCGAGUUUCUAUAAUCAUAUAUAUACUCUAGCACAUGUCUACAAUGCCAUUAUGCAUCUUAUUUAACAAGCGCAUAUAAUGUUAUAUGCACCUAGCAUACAUUCCAAUGCACACAUAUACAUUACACUUGCAUCUACUUACUAGCAUGUACUUUCAUAAUGUUAAUAUGCCAUACCAUCUAACAUGUAUCCACAUGAUGCUCUUAUGCAUUUUAGUUCACUCAACAAACAUAUUAACAUGAAAUCGAAUACUUAGCAUCUUUAUAUCAUGUCGUCACCUAGCAUAUAAUUAUGAUGCAUUAACAUGCAACUACCAAUUAGCAUGCAUUUACAUAAUGCUAACAUGUAUAUACGUUUAACAAUUUCUCAUAACUCAUAUGAUUAACAUUCAUUUAUAUGCUCAUGUUCUCUAGCAUGCUUUCCUACAUGUCAACAUGAAUCUAUAAUGCUAACAUGUUCAUAUGCACAUACAUUUAUGCAUCAACAAGGAUUCACAUUCUGCUUUGACAUGCGGGGCGACCAAGUCGCUUCGGUAAGUACAACCCACCUUAGCUAGCUUUCCGAUUGCUAGUAGUCACUUGCAAUCGGCCGCCCGCGGCACCCGGCACCCGGUUUGGCCCGAUCCCUCGCGCGACCACCCGAACAGCCUCCAAUCCACGAUAUGGAAAUUAAAGGUCUUUGGUGAUGUGCCACGGUGCUUCAAAUCCGUUUUCACGAUUUUACGACGUCACCUCGGCCCUCCAGGCGGAAACGAAGCCUAAACGUCCGUUUCUUUAAUAACUUUGUAACGGCUCGUUGGAUUGCCGAACCGUCUUCGCCAACGCGUUUCGUUACCUAACAAUUAGAUUUACGAAGGGUUAAUUGAGAUCAAACCCAACUAUUUUCAAAAAAUUGCAUUUUGAACCCUAGGUUACAACUAUGCAAGAAAUCACCAAAUCCCUUCACGAAUUAAGCAUCAAUCAUCUAGAUAGCAUGCUAGGAUUCCUCUAAAUCCAUUUCUAGAGAUCAAAACCACAUAUCUAGAGAUCUACCAUGAGAGGGCUCAAAAAGCUCACCUCAAAACUUGCUUCAAACCAUGGAGAAGAUGGAGAAGAUGAAGGUGAUUCACUUCCAAGCUUCAAUCUCUACCAAUUUCUUUAAUUUUGGGAGAGAUUUAGAGAGAGAAAGGGAGGUUUCUCUCUCUCCCUCU
rnacentral:lncRNA from 1 species